rnacentral:rRNA from 1 species
GAUUAACGCGAAGAACCUUACCUGGGCUUGACAUGCUGGUGCAAGCCGGUGGAAACAUCGGCCCCUCUUCGGAGCGCCAGCACAGGUGCUGCAUGGCUGUCGUCAGCUCGUGUCGUGAGAUGUUGGGUUAAGUCCCGCAACGAGCGCAACCCUCGCUCCCAGUUGCCAGCGAGUCAUGUCGGGGACUCUGGGGGGACUGCCGGCGUUAAGCCGGAGGAAGGUGGGGACGACGUCAAGUCAUCACGGCCCUUACGUCCAGGGCGACACACGUGCUACAAUGCCUGGUACAGCGCGUCGCGAACCCGCGAGGGGGAGCCAAUCGCUAAAAGCCGGGCUAAGUUCGGAUUGCAGUCUGCAACUCGACUACAUGAAGCCGGAAUCGCUAGUAAUCGCGGAUCAGCCACGCCGCGGUGAAUACGUUCCCGGGCCUUGUACACACCGAAUC